CACGUAGGGUGCGAGCGUUGUCCGGAAUUAUUGGGCGUAAAGAGCUCGUAGGCGGUGUGUCGCGUCGGCCGUGAAAACCUGCAGCUUAACUGUGGGCUUGCGGUCGAUACGGGCAUCACUGGAGUUCGGCAGGGGAGACUGGAAUUCCUGGUGUAGCGGUGAAAUGCGCAGAUAUCAGGAGGAACACCGGUGGCGAAGGCGGGUCUCUGGGACGGUACUGACGCUGAGGCGCGAAAGCUAGGGGAGCGAACGGG
rnacentral:rRNA from 1 species